rnacentral:lncRNA from 1 species
GUUGCUUCAUUCUUUCCUUGCUUUGCCGUGCGUUUUGUCCAAUUCUUUGUUCAAAACGUCAAGAACCUGGACAAUUUGCAGUCAAGACCUGCUACCGGUAACACUAUGGGAAUGUUUUUCAGUGGAACAGACGGGCCUGGGGGCUCAGGGAAACUCUCCCUAGCCUUGAGAGAUUCACUCAGCCAGAACUAAAAAUGAGAGAGUCCCAGCUAUGAACUCUGAAAAGCAGAAGGAAAAUUAUUUUUUCCUCCCCUACCCUGGGAACUCCUGGAAGAUAAGGACCAUCAUCAUGUCGCCUGAAGUAUUUCUCUCCUAGGCCCCCACAGUGUGUGUUCACAAUGGCCUCAUUCCCCUUGCUGGCUAAUGCAGAGCUGGAAGAAGGUAUAUUCAAGCCUUUUCUUGCACAGCAAGGAGGAUGACUAAGGAGCUAAGAGAUGUGAGCCGAAGCCUCCCUCAGUGUCUAUUUGCUGACCCAAUAACCCAUCUUGAGCAUUCCUGAAGUUGGUGAAAACCAGCUCUUCACUUGAUAUAAUCUUGAAUAAAAAAAGAAAGCAUUUCCC